UCUGAGCAUUUUUCUCCCCUUCGUCGGCGAUCUUCCUCUGAUUUCUAAUCUGGGUUUCCUCUUAAUUGCACACAUAACAAAAUCUGAUCUGGGUUUUCUUUCUGUGUAUAUCUAUAUUGUAGCUAUAUUUGUUUGAUUUAAUUAUAUAAGACUUUAUAUCGAUAAUUAAAGAUUCUCCCUUCUGCUAUGGGAUUGAAGAUUAAUCAACAUCUAGAGAGAACAUUUCUCUGAUUCUUUUUGAGUAACUGGAGAAUCUACCAUAUGCUCCAGGCUGGAAUCUGAGCUAGAGCUGAAGCAUUUCAUAGAACUCAGAAGUAGGAGCAUAAGGUGUUUGACAAAAGUCCAAAGAGAAAAAGACAGAUUCCAUCAUCAACAAUCUUCUUGCUCGUAACUCCGACAUGAACAGUAAUACCGACGUGAACAGUACUCUGACGUGAAUAAUAUUUUUCGGCGACAAUCAAGUUCAUUUCAACUGGAGUUGGUAGAGUUCAACUCGUCAAGAGUGUAUUGUAUGUUAUACUAAUAUUCUGGUCUCAAAUAUUUGUCCUUUUCAAAGAAGAUCAUCCAAACAGUGGAGGCUAUGUGUAGAAGAUUUCUAUGGACUGGUAAUAUUGAGACCUCAAGAAAAGCUUUGAUUGCAUGAGAAAAGUUGUGUUGCCCCAAAGCAAGUGCAGAACUGAAUUUUAUUGACUUAUAGACAUGGAACAAGGCUACCAUUGGUAAGCUGUAGUGGAAUUUAUGUCAGAAAAAAGAUAAGUUAUGGAUUGCUUGGAUUCAUAGAUAUUAUGGGCAUAAUGGUGUGUGGAACAUACUAGCCAAACAAGCAUUUUGGGUAGUAAAAAAAAUUCUGAAAGUCGCUAAACAUCUACAAGAGUUUGGAUAUACUAAGACAUGUGUAAAAGGCAUGGAAAAGUACAAAGUACUUUAUUGGUAGAAUUUAUAUAUAGAUGAGUGGCACAGUGGAGAAGGUAGAGCGGAGAUCACUGGAGUGAACAAAUAUUGGAACUCCUAAGUGGUUGUUCAUUUUGUAUCUUACGGUAAAUAGAAGACUUGUAACUAAAGAUAGAUUGAAUAGCUGAGGCUUAAUCCUGUCCCUACAUGCCCUCUAUGUCAGUAGGUGAAUGAGAAUGGUCAGUUAUUCUUUUAGUGUACAUAUGCUGCAGAGGUGUGGUGUAGUGUACCAACUUGGCAAGGGGUUAGUCUGCAUUAUGAACUAGAAUGAUGAGGCACAUUGGGCAAUCAAAUUUAUGAAGGGCAAAAGUAGCAUAGCACUCCAACAGCUUAAACGCAAUCCCCAGUUUCAUUACCAUCCAAGAUGCAGGAAGUUAGGCAUUCUACAUAUAUGUUUAGCUGAUGAUAUGCUAAUGAGAUGUAGGCAGGUGAGGGAUCUAUCGAGCUUCUAUUCAAUGCAUUUAAACAUUUUCUGAAGUGUCACAAUUGCAUGCUAAUAUGAAAAAGAGCUCAUUGUACACAGUUAAUGGGGGUCCCACUAUCAACUAGGAAAGUCUCAAUACAACAGUACUUUAUUACUAUAGAAAAAAUAAUGGCAAGAACAAAAUGUCGGACAUCCAAAUUAUUAUCCUACAGUAGCAGAUUGCAGCUUGUGAAGAGUGUUUUGUUUUAAAUAUUGGGCUCAAAUUUUCUUCUUGCCUAAUAAGAUUAUGGCAAUGGGUUACAAUAACAUUCUUGUGGAUAGAAAGUCAUAAUUGCUCCAAAAAGGCACUAGUAACAUGGGAGAUGGUAUGUAAGACCAAGACAGCAAGAGGAAUGAAUGCAAUAGACAUAUUUACAUGAAACAAGGCAGUAAUAUGUAAACUCUUAUGGACAGUGGAACAAAAGAAAGAUAAAUUAUGAAUAGUAUGGGCACAUAUAUACUAUAUAAAUUCCAAAGACUUGGAGACAAUGCAGAUUCCCAAACAGACAUGCUGACUAAUGAGGAAGGUAUAGUAUCAAGAGGGAUACUUAGCAAUGAGGUAACAAUACCUGAAAGUAACUUGGAGUAAAUUGGUGUUAGUAAAAGGUCCAAUACCUAGGAAGUAAUUUAUCCUAUGGUUGGCAACAAUGGACAUAGUACAAAAGUGGGGGAUGUGGUCUCGAUUAAUUGUGUACUAUGUGAUGAUCAAGUGGAGGAGAUAUCGAGUACCUAUUUUUUGACUGUUCCUAGUCUACAACUAUAUGGUUGGCUCUUGUGAAGUGGCUGGGAUAUAAUAGACAACCAGGUGAUUGGAGUUGUGAAGUUCAAUGGCUGUCCCAGCAGAUCAGCAAUAAUAGAACACAAGUAGGAGUGCUAAGACACUGACAUACUGUUUUGCAACAAUAGUGUAUCAAGUAUGGGCUGAGAAAAACAGAAGGAGAUUCAACAAUAAGAAUAUUAAGUACACACAAAGGCUUCAGAGAUAACAAUCCAAAUGCAUAUAGAGGGACAAAGGCACAAGAAAUGGGUACAAAAGAUAGGAAAACUCAAUUCAUAUCCAGCCUAUUUAUAGAGAAUGUAUAUAGUAUUUUCUUAUUGUAAGCAGGAUAACCUGCACAAAGAUAGUGAAAAUAGUAUAUAGGAAAGCCAACUUGAGUCCAAAUGGGAUUGCAGAUAUGUAAAGAGCUACAACAUUUGGUUGAAUGUAACUUUUAGCUUUUGACCUUAAAAAGGAGCACAACACUCGUGUAUAAAAUGGCAAUGACUAGCACAAUCUAUUGCUUAUGGUUGCAGCGUAACAACUGGAUAUUGCAACAGAAGCAGCAGCCAACAAUCACUUAUUAGGCGUAUCAUUCAGGAGAUUCAUGGAAAUGUAUUAGACAUUCUAGAGUAGCUACAAGAUUACGUGAUUUGAAUGUGUAAUUCGUUUAGCUAUGGUUGUUAAGUGUAGCAAGGAUGGAGCUUAUGUCCAUACAUGCUGUU